rnacentral:rRNA from 1 species
GACGAACGCUGGCGGCGUGCUUAACACAUGCAAGUCGAACGAAGAACGAUGGAAGCUUGCUUCUAUCAAUCUUAGUGGCGAACGGGUGAGUAACGCGUAAUCAACCUGCCCUUCAGAGGGGGACAACAGUUGGAAACGACUGCUAAUACCGCAUACGAUCUGACCUCGGCAUCGAGGAUAGAUGAAAGGUGGCCUCUACAUGUAAGCUAUCACUGAAGGAGGGGAUUGCGUCUGAUUAGCUAGUUGGAGGGGUAACGGCCCACCAAGGCGAUGAUCAGUAGCCGGUCUGAGAGGAUGAACGGCCACAUUGGGACUGAGACACGGCCCAGACUCCUACGGGAGGCAGCAGUGGGGAAUCUUCCGCAAUGGACGAAAGUCUGACGGAGCAACGCCGCGUGAGUGAUGACGGCCUUCGGGUUGUAAAGCUCUGUUAAUCGGGACGAAAGGCCUUUUUGCGAAUAGUGAGAAGGAUUGACGGUACCGGAAUAGAAAGCCACGGCUAACUACGUG